AGUGAACGCUGGCGGUAGACCUAACACAUGCAAGUCGAACGGCAGCACAGGAGAGCUUGCUCUCUAGGUGGCGAGUGGCGGACGGGUGAGGAAUACAUCGGAAUCUGCCCAGUCGUGGGGGAUAACGUAGGGAAACUUACGCUAAUACCGCAUACGACCUUCGGGUGAAAGAGGGGGAUCGCAAGACCUCUCGCGAUUGGAUGAGCCGAUGUCGGAUUGGCUAGUUAGCGGGGUAAUGGCCCACCAAGGCGACGAUCCGUAGCUGGUCUGAGAGGAUGAUCAGCCACACUGGAACUGAGACACGGUCCAGACUCCUACGGGAGGCAGCAGUGGGGAAUAUUGGACAAUGGGCGCAAGCCUGAUCCAGCCAUACCGCGUGGGUGAAGAAGGCCUUCGGGUUGUAAAGCCCUUUUGUUGGGAAAGAAAUCUUUCAGGCUAAUACCCUGGGAGGAUGACGGUACCCAAAGAAUAAGCACCGGCUAACUUCGUG
rnacentral:rRNA from 1 species